rnacentral:lncRNA from 1 species
GGAGGAAGAGCCGGAGCCAGCCAGGAAAGGAGGAGAGCAGAUCCUUAGGCAGAACAACACGUGCAAAGGUCCGGAGAUGCUUAUUAGCUAAUGAAAGAAAGAUGACAGUAACCGUACAGGCAGAAACCUGGCCGGCGCGCUGCAGCCACGGGAACAGGCUGAAGCAAUAAGACACACCCUCACGAUGCGCCGAGAAGGACACAGUGCUGCUUCUGUGAUAUGCCUGCCCGAAAUGCACAGCCUCACUCCAGUCAUGGGAAAACACUGGACAAAUCCAAAUCGGGGGCAGUUCGACAAAACAACUGAUCAGUACUCUUCAAAAAGUGUCGAGGUUAUGAAAGAGGAACUGUCAGCCACUAGAGGAGAAUGAGGCAAAAUGACCGCUGAAAGCAAUGUGGAUCCUGGACAGGGUCCUGCACCCGGAAGAGGACGGUAGCAGAAAGUCAAGUGAAAUUUGAGGAAGAUCUGUAGUUUACUUAAUGAUUAGCCCUGAGCUAACUACUGCCAAUCCUCCUCUUUUUGCUGAGGAAG